rnacentral:lncRNA from 1 species
UAUUUGUGCUAAUAUAUUUGGGAAGGUGAUCAUGCUAUUAUAUACAGAUUAUUAUGCUACUAUACACUGGAAUAUUCUAUAAUAUUCUAACAAGAAGGAAGAUAUCAUAGGUGAAGACUUCCUGUUGGGAGAUGAGGUGGAGGAAGAUUAUGAAUUCGACUUUCAGAAACAGAAAGCAACAGUGGUGCCAGCAGAGGAAGAAAAACUGCUUCAAGUUGGCUGUUUGAAUUACAAGGUCUUGGAGGCAUUGGGUUAUGAUAGGGCUUGCGAUUUAGAUGCAUUCUGGUUUUGGAUGUCAUGCUGUAUUGAGGGACUUGGAAGAACCUUUACCUUCUAAGAGAGUACUUCCCUUAAACCAAAUCCUGUUUAACUCUACUUGGCUAAUAAUCUCCUCAGUGAAUCAAGUUUCAAUUAUAGGAACCUUUCUGAUGGCAUUACAAUAUCCGGAACAUGGCUAGGGGAAUUAUUCCAUUGUUGGAUGGAGACAAGACAAUCUCCAAGUGCGACACUGUUAAGGAAAAUGAGGUUCAUGAAGAUCCUAACAUUUUUAUGUAGGAAAUUGAGACAAAUGUUUAUGAGGAAGGUUUCUUUUUUUGUGAAAAGGAAGUGAGGUUGAGAAUUUCCAUGAAGACUUAUGUUAAAACAAAGGGGCGGACCAAUCUUAUACUUAAAGUGGCUAGCCUCUAUCACCAGGAUGAUGGAGAUCCUAAGGAUUGGAGGUGAAAAGAUAAUUUGUUAAGAAGAUUGUUAGUCGGAAUAUCAGUGGCUUAGGAAAUAGUUUG